rnacentral:rRNA from 1 species
GAGAGCUUGCUCUCUUGAAGUUAGUGGCGAACGGGUGAGUAACGCGUAAUCAACCUGCCCUUCAGAGGGGGAUAACAACGGGAAACCGUUGCUAAUACCGCGUACGAUUCAUAGGCGGCAUCGCUUGUGAAUGAAAGGUGGCCUCUAUAUAUAAGCUAUCGCUGAAGGAGGGGAUUGCGUCUGAUUAGCUAGUUGGAGGGGUAACGGCCCACCAAGGCAAUGAUCAGUAGCCGGUCUGAGAGGAUGAACGGCCACAUUGGGACUGAGACACGGCCCAAACUCCUACGGGAGGCAGCAGUGGGGAAUCUUCCGCAAUAGACGAAAGUCUGACGGAGCAACGCCGCGUGAGUGAUGAAGGUCUUCGGAUUGUAAAGCUCUGUUAAUCGGGACGAAAGAGUUCUGUGUGUAUAAUGCAGAAAAGUGACGGUACCGGAAUAGAAAGCCACGGCUAACUACGUGCCAGCAGCCGCGGUAAUACGUAGGUGGCAAGCGUUGUCCGGAAUUAUUGGGCGUAAAGCGCGCGCAGGCGGCCUAUCCAGUCUGUCUUAAAAGUUCGGGGCUCAACCCCGUGAUGGGAUGGAAACUAGUAGGCUAGAGUAUCGGAGAGGAAAGCGGAAUUCCUAGUGUAGCGGUGAAAUGCGUAGAUAUUAGGAAGAGCACCAGUGGCGAAGGCGGCUUUCUGGACGAAAACUGACGCUGAGGCGCGAAAGCCAGGGGAGCGAACGGGAUUAGAUACCCCGGUAGUCCUGGCCGUAAACGAUGGGUACUAGGUGUAGGAGGUAUCGACCCCUUCU